GACGAACGCUGGCGGCGUGCCUAAUACAUGCAAGUAGAACGCUGAAGGAGGAGCUUGCUCUUCUGGAUGAGUUGCGAACGGGUGAGUAACGCGUAGGUAACCUGCCUGGUAGCGGGGGAUAACUAUUGGAAACGAUAGCUAAUACCGCAUAACAGUAGAUGUUGCAUGACAUUUGCUUAAAAGGUGCAAUUGCACCACUACCAGAUGGACCUGCGUUGUAUUAGCUAGUUGGUGGGGUAACGGCUCACCAAGGCGACGAUACAUAGCCGACCUGAGAGGGUGAUCGGCCACACUGGGACGGAGACACGGCCCAGACUCCUACGGGAGGCAGCAGUAGGGAAUCUUCGGCAAUGGACGGAAGUCUGACCGAGCAACGCCGCGUGAGUGAAGAAGGUUGUCGGAUCGUAAAGCUCUGUUGUAAGAGAAGAACGAGUGUGAGAGUGGAAAGUUCACACUGUGACGGUAUCUUACCAGAAAGGGACGGCUAACUACGUG
rnacentral:rRNA from 1 species